rnacentral:lncRNA from 1 species
GUAUAAAGCUGACAGGUGGUAUAGGCAGCAAGAGGCAGGGGAUCUACUGUCUGGAGGUGGUUCCUGGUUCACCUGCCUGUGAGGAAGGCAGCGUCCAACCAAACGACAGGAUCCUGUACAUCUGUGGCCGAUGCACCAUGGGAAUGACUUUGGAGGAUGCUGUCAAGGCCUGCGAGAACGCUCCACGCAAAGUGAAACUCAAGGCCACCAGAGAUGAUCAGCCUGUGACGCCCAAAGCCAAGAGGAAUGGUGUGUAUCAGACCAUAUAGGGAGAUGAUGAGCACUAUGUUCAGUUCAGAACUCCUCUUGAUGUGGAUGACUGCUGGUUCAAAGAGAAACAGAAACUCUGGAAGGUGGCCAAGUGGUGCAAUAGGUUAAGUUGAUAUAAUGAGAGGUUCGUAGAUUGACACCUCAUUGAGGAUUAGAUGCUAUUCUCAGAUCAAUCGUUACCAGUUGAUACCCAUACCUCAGACAGAGACAGAGGCUUAAUAGUUUGGCGUUUCAACUAGUGGAGGCUGCUGAGUGGAGGAUGGCUCAUAAUAAUGGCUGUAAUGAAGUGUAAAGGCCUUUAAUUAAGUGAAUGAAAUGGUAUCAAAACAAUGAGAACCAUGUGUUUGAUACCGUUCUGUUCACUCCAUUCUGGCCAUUAUUAUGAGCCGUCCUCCCCUCAGCAGCCUCUACUGGUUUCAAAAUAGGGUGGCAGGUAGCUUAGCGUUUAAGAGCGUUGGGCCAGUAACCAAAAGGUCACUAGUUUGAAUCCCAGACCCGACUAGGUGAAACAUCUGAUGUGCCCUUGAGCAUGGCACUUAACUCUAAUUGAGUCAUCAUCUUGUAAGUCGCUCUGGAUAAGAGCAUCUGCUAAUUGACAAAAAUGCAUGACAGUGUGAUUCUGGGUCCUGUCUGUCUAGGUCUCAGUGACCUGAGAGAGUGGAAGAAGGAGAAGGAAUGGAAGUAUUUCACUCAUUUUGAGGAACCUGUCUCUCCUGAGCCAGAGACACCUACUGAGCAGGCUAAAGCCGUGACCGAGACCACUGGGAAAUUCAGAUCACGUCUCUCUGUCACCUCAGAUCAAGAUAGCUGUAUCUUGCAGAUAGAUCUCUGUAAGCCAGAGGGAGGGUGGCUGGGCUUUGCUCUGAUUGGAGGAUGCAAUGGGAGCGUGCUCAGAGUGAAGAAGAUCUGCACUGGAGGCGUGGCCCACCAAGACGGGCGGCUCAGAGUGGGAGACAUACUGCUCGAGGUACGCACAAGCACGUACACACACACACACUUAUCAAUAACUGAUUAUGAGUCCUAACAUUACUUUUAAUAUAUUUGUAGUAAAUACAGUGAGCUCCAAAAGUAUUGGGACAGUAACAUUUUGUUUUUGUUUUGGCUCUGUACUCCAGCACUUUGGAUUUGAAAUGAUACAAUGACUAUGAGGUUAAAGUGCAUUUUGGGUAAACCGUUUGAGAAAUUACAGCACUUUUUGUAUGUAGUCCCUCAAUUUUAGAGGACCAAAGGUAUUGGGACAAAUUCACUUACUAUAUAUGUAUAAAAAUAGUA